UGUGAUAUAACUCAGUGGCAGAGUACUUGCCUAGCAUGCCAGGUCCCCAGGUUCAAUCCCUGGCACUGCAG
rnacentral:tRNA from 1 species